rnacentral:rRNA from 1 species
GAACCAACAGGGAUUGCCUCAGUAACGGCGAGUGAAGCGGCAACAGCUCAAAUUUGAAAUCUGGCUCCUUCGGGGCCCGAGUUGUAAUUUGGAGAAGAUGCUUCGGGUGUGGCCCCGGUCUAAGUUCCUUGGAACAGGACGUCACAGAGGGUGAGAAUCCCGUACGUGACCGGUGGCCGCCCCCGUGUGAAGCUCUUUCGACGAGUCGAGUUGUUUGGGAAUGCAGCUCAAAAUGGGUGGUAAAUUUCAUCUAAAGCUAAAUAUUGGCCAGAGACCGAUAGCGCACAAGUAGAGUGAUCGAAAGAUGAAAAGCACUUUGGAAAGAGAGUUAAACAGUACGUGAAAUUGUUGAAAGGGAAGCGCUUGCAACCAGACUUGCGCGCGGCCGAUCAUCCGGUGUUCGCACCGGUGCACUCGGUCGCGCUCAGGCCAGCAUCGGUUUGGGUGGUUGGAUAAAGGCCUCGGGAAUGUGGCUCUCUUCGGGGAGUGUUAUAGCCCGAGGUGCAAUGCAGCCUACCCGGACCGAGGACCGCGCUUCGGCUAGGAUGCUGGCGUAAUGGUUGUAAGCGACCCGUCUU